AACUUUUCUAUUAACUUUCAACUAAUAUAAUUUAUUCCUAUCCUACGUAUAACCGCGGCAGCUGGCACGACCUUAGCCAAUCAUAAAUCAGAUUACUAAUUCCAAGUUUCCUUAAUUACUAAAACCAAAUACUGCGAAUAAUCAAUAUUUCAUUAAGAUUUUUAAUCACCCACAUAAAUUUACAUGUAAAAUAUCCUAAAAAUAAAUUUCUAAGCAAGAAUAAAACUUUC
rnacentral:rRNA from 1 species